GCCGGGGGAUGCCGGAUCCCCCGUCCCGGGGAUGCGGAAGGGCUGGACCGGCAGCACAGCGUCGGGAGGAGGAUGGGAGGAGAGGAGCAGCCCUGGGAAACAGCGGGUGCGGAGCAGCGUCGGGGCUGGAACGAGGAAGCGGUGAAGGAAAAGCCAAGGGAGCAGCUGGGGGAUUGCAACAGAGCCCAGGAGCUGCGGGCACGGGCGGGAGGUCACACACAGCCCUGUCCCCCCCCGGGCCGGCUCCCGAUCCCCCGGAGAGAGGAGGCACAAGCACGGGGGAGAUGCGACGCAGGGGCCAUGGGGACAAACCUUAUCCCCCUGCUGGGGACCUUCCCCCCCAGAAUCCAUCCCGGGGGUCCCCUCCUCACGCUCGGUCCCCCCCACACUGAGGGAUCUGGCAUGGGAUGGGGCAGAGGGCCGCCAGCCGGGCUCUCCAGAGCCGCUCCGUUACCAAAUAAGGCCUCCGUCGUGCCUUUUACAUGCCGUUCUCACCCAGCCGGAGUGACGUGACCUCCUUUCCAAAUUGCUCUGUCCCCGCCAGGCUCCUCCGCAGGGACCCCCCUGGCCGGGGGUGCCUCUAGGGGGGCAGCGAGCAGGAUGGGGAGGAUGCCCCGGGGUGCCAGGUGCAGGCAGCGGGACCCCAGCCAGCCUGAGGAGAAGGAGUGGGGAUGAAGCAGGGGCUUGUUCCCCAUUGCUGCACCCCAAUCUACCUCACUAGGAUGGGUGCUGCUUCUCCCUCUUUUUUGGGGGGCACGAGGCUGGAAGGCAAACCCCAGGGAGGAGAGAGGCUUGCAGGGCGCUGGGCACCCCCCCUUCCCUUACGCUUGAGCAAAUACUCAAAAGCACCGGCUCUUCCAGGCAGGGCUGGAAAAACUCGUGCAAGGAAAAUACCUGCCCAGUGUGCAAGCACGGGCAGCCCUCGCCCUGCUGACGCCGGGACAUGGAGGGGUUCCCCAGCACCUUGGGGCUGUCUCCCCUGGGUCUCAUUGUGCCCACCAGCCCCUGCACAAGGGUAGGGGUUCCCCAAGGGCCAGCAGUGCGAGGGCCAGCCUCUCGCCCCCCUGGAUCCUGCCCUUUGCCAGCACAACACGCACUGCACCGCUUGGGAAGUCCUCCAGGACAUGUCCCACCGCCGUGUCACCUGCAAGGACCCAGCAGCAUCGCCUGGCCCUCACCCAGCAAGGCCACCAGCACUUCACCCCCCAAAAUUCCCUUUUAUCGAAGUGCUUUGGGGAAACUUUGACAAGUUUCAAGGCGGGACCCGUUGGCUGGAGAUGGCUCUGAAAUAAAAACAUGAAGGCGAGCGGAUCCCCGGUGCCUGCAUCCCGGCGUUAUCCAUCAACCCGAGACCCCGCGGGGCCGGGCGGGCGCGGAGCGGAGCGGAGCGGCGGGUGAAAGGUAAGGAGCAGAUCGCUAUCGCCCGCUUGCACCCUCCCAAAGUCCACAUUCCCCGUUCAAGGUCAUGGGCAAAACCAGGAACUUGGGCAGCAGCCACGGAGAACAAAAAAACAACACUCCGGUCCCCGCGGCGUGGGCGUGGGGUUUGUCACCCGUGGGGACAGGGUGUUUCACACAUCUGCGGGGUGAGACCCGCUGCGGUGGGAGGGACACAAGGGCCACCGCUCGCAGGGUACCCGCUGGCACCAUCACCCCACAUGCCACCCCGGCACCGUCCCCAGGUUUCGGCUUGAUCUCUGUCCUGCUGAUUGCCCACGAAGGGCUCAGUGGUCCCGCAGGGCUCUGGAACAUCGUGAUGGAGAAUUUGGGAUGAAAAGCAUUUGACCAGUGGCCGUGUCCGCAGCAGAUGCUGCCCUCACAGGGACCGGAGGUGACACCGAGGACAUCCCGCUGGCCGGACAGGGCUUGUACGGAACAAGUCAUCAAGGUCACAGCUCGGCUUUCCACAACUCAGUGGCCAAGCCAGACCUGUGGGCAGCUGCCCGCACCUCCUGCCCCGCAGCACAGAGCGUUUCCAGCCUCUGCAGCCGCGAUUUACAGAGCAGAACCUCUCGUGCUGGGCAGGAGAUGGAAACCAGCCGUUCCAGACAGGAUUUGGGGAGCAGGACGCAUCCAGCUACAAGAACAAGGUGGCCUCAAGUGGGGGGACCUGUCUAGUUACCCAAAUCUGCUGGCGCCUCUUGCUUUUGGGGAAUUUCUGCUACAACAUCCGUUUCCUCCCACGCGGAGGGAGAACAUCAGGCGGUGUUGUAGUCGUACGAGGACGGGAAGGGAAGUUGUGAAAAAACAUCCCCAGGAAUCUCGGGGGCUGGUGGGAAACAGAGCUGCUGGGAAGCACGGACACGUCCCAAAGGAUCGCAGCCCCACCGGGCCAGAGAAACGGGCUGUUUGUAUUCCCGAAACAAAGCACGUACAGCACAGCUACUGCCUGAGAGACGACAGAUCCAAAGCUGGUUGGAGAUGCUCAGAGGAAUUUAAAUAAAGGACACGAAU